rnacentral:misc_RNA from 1 species
GAAAGGGAAUCGAAACGAACAAGCGCAGACAGUCAAAGGAAGAUGAGGAAGUUCGAUCCAUGGCCGGUGUUUUUCAGGCGAGAAUGGAAGAGGAACUGGCCGUUCCUUGUUGGUUUCGCCAUAACCGGCGCCAUAAUUACCAAGAUGACCGCCGGACUUUCUGAGGAAGAGGUGAAGAAUUCUCCCUUCGUGCAGAGGCACAAACGGUGAAUCCUUUAAGGAGGAUUAGUGGCAUUGCGAAAUGAGAUGUUUUCAUUUGUGCAAAAUAACAGAUGCUGCGGUUAGUUUACAUGCCAUUUGAAGCAAAUUUUAUUGGUACUUCUCAGUAUGUAUCGAAACUUGGAAGGAUUUUUUGUGAUGUUGUUUACUUCUUAUAUGAACAUGAAUUCU